rnacentral:rRNA from 1 species
AGCGAACGUUAGCGGCAGGCUUAACACAUGCAAGUCGAACGAGAAAGGGUCCUUCGGGGCCUGAGUAAAGUGGCGCACGGGUGAGUAACACGUGGAUAAUCUACCCUCUGGUGGGGGACAACAACUGGAAACGGUUGCUAAUACCGCAUGAGUCCUGAUGGUCUACGGGCUGUCAGGAGAAAGGCUUCGGUCGCCAGAGGAUGAGUCCGCGUCCCAUCAGCUAGUUGGUGAGGUAAUGGCUCACCAAGGCUCAGACGGGUAGCUGGUCUGAGAGGAUGAUCAGCCACACUGGGACUGAGACACGGCCCAGACUCCUACGGGUGGCUG